UCUUGAGUGUUUGUGCCCAGUGUUUUGUAAACCUCAGUAUCAUCUAGUAACGGUGGAAGUAUCUUACUUCCCCCAUUUUCCUCAAAAAACAUUUUUGAUACUUCAGUCUAUGACAACAGGUUUGUUUCUAGUUGUGAAAAUAUGCUCAAUUGUUUUAUGGAGCUUCUUAAUGAUGUGAUCCAUAGUUGAUAAAGUUUUGAUAUGGAUAAUAUUUAAACUAUGAUGAUGAUUCAAUAUAAUAACAUCUAUCAAAUUAUUUCAAUUAUGGGCCAAAGGCUUCAUAAUGGAUGGCGAUGAUUAUUUAAAGAGGAUGGUGCAAAAAAAAAAGAAAGGAAAAAAAAAAGUUGUUUGGCAAAACAUGAAGGGAAUCAAGAAGGUAUACCUCCUUUGAAAUCCUAUUUAACCUCUAGUUAGGCUUAUUAAGCACAAUUUCACAAAAGAAAGUUAGAUGUAUGGAAGUUUGCUAUCAUACUUACUAACCACCACAGUCAAAAUUUCACAAGAGAAAGACAAGAUGAAGCACAAUUUCACAAAAGAAUGUUAGAAUAAGUCUAUAACCUAAAACUCCAUGGUCCAUAAUUCUUUUAGAAUAAGGCUAAAAGCCUACUUUAUUUUAAAACCACCAUA
rnacentral:lncRNA from 1 species